UUGCGUGCAUUGAGUUCUCUCUCAAAAAAUAUUCAUUGUUGUAAAUGUUUAGUUUAAAAUAAAAGCUGUAGUUUUAUAAGAAAUAUGUCUAAAUUAUCGACGUCUUUGAUAAAUGCCUGCGAGCAAGGAAAUCAUCAAAUACUCCAGGCCUUGCCCAGAAAAAAUCGCGCUAAUUACGUUCCUUCGCGCUCUCUAAUUAAGGGUUCAAUAGUCAUACUUCUCUUUAAUAUGUGUUUGAUUUAUUUCGGCUUUCUCGCUUAUAAGUAUCUAAACACUUUAGACGAUCAGCAGAAACUUCAAAUAUCCAACUAUUUAUGUAGUCUAGGUGCUUUUGCGGUUAUCAUCUCACUGCUCCGAAAUAGUGACAUGUCAAAGAAUAAUCCAAAUCUGUACUACAUUUAAGAAAGAAAAAUUCUAAGCGAUAUUGUUUAAUAGGUAAUCUAAUCUGCAAGUAUUAAAUAGUAUUUACACAGGACUUUUUUAAGAGGAAUCCCUGUCAUUACUUAAAUUC